CAUCAUCUGAAAAGCUUGGACAUCUCCUUUGUAUAGCAACGACAUACCAUGACCUUGGUUCAUAGCAUGGAAUAGCACAUCCUUACAAGAUCGCUCAUAUGUAGGUUCAUAGAGUCCGAAUAGUAUAAAUUAAUGACUGCCACCGGCCACCAGUGACACUUAUGUCCGAGCCACAGGCAACAUCACAUUUAGAACUUAACCGUUUUACAAUUACACAUAAACUGGUAGUCUUUAGUUGCAACGCAAUUGUUGCUUCAGUCUGUUGAUAUAUUGUUUUAGGACAAACCAACAAAGAAAGCUCGCAAAAACCCAGUCUUAACAUGUUUUUAAUUCUGCUCGUCGUCUUCGUCUUGCUCCUGAUUAUUUUGGCUAUACUACAAAAUCGAAGUCACAAAGUGUUCUUUGAAUCUCAAGGAAUUCCAUACCUCGGCCAUGGCAUGCUUCGCCUCAUCAUCAAUACGCUUAGAGGGAUUACUAUCAACGAAGAUGUUCGAAAUCAGUACGCAAAAUUUAAAGCUGAUAAACACAAAAUAGUCGGAGCGAAAGAUUUUGGAACUUUGGCCCUCAUGAUACUCGAUCCUGUACUGCUAAAGUCCAUCCUGGUGAAAGAUUUCGACCAUUUUACCGACCGCCAAACCUUCCCGAUGGCAGAAGAAGAUUUCCUCCUGAGUAAAAUGGUGUUCACUCAACGGGGCGAAAAGUGGAAGUCGUUGAGAUCAAAGUUAAGCCCGACCCUUACGACGGGCAAGAUUAAGCGAUUGUUUCCCCUGUUUAACGAAAGUGGGAAAAAGAUGGCAAAAUUUGUCGAACAGGAAAUAUCAAGAAAUGGUGAAGAGAUAGAUUUGACCUUAAUUUACUCAAAGUUCACGAUGGAAGUUAUCGCCACGGCGGUUUGUGGGAUGGACUCACAAGCAUUUGCCUCCAAGGAGCCGUCCCUUUUUGAAAAAAUGGGAGCAAGGUUGCAAUUUUCGUUCGGAAUUUUUAAAGUUAUCCAGCUAAUCUUGAUCUUGAUGGCGCCAAAGUUAGCGAAUCUAUGCAAAAUGUCAUUAUUGGAGAGAGAUGUUCAAGACUUUUUCGCUUCGGCCAUAAAGAGUUCUAUUCAUGACCGGCAAGCAAAGAACGAGAAGAGGAACGACUUCAUCCAGUUGAUGUUGGAGGCGAGGGAGGGAAAGUUGAAGACGGAAGAAAAUGAGUUGUCCUCCUUUGAAAAGGACGCUAUCAUCAAAGAGGACAAGUCUUCGGAGGAGUCAAAAAUUUCGGCUAACGAAUUAUUGAAUGAUGACGUUAUCGCUGCCAACGCGGUGCUGUUUAUCCUCGGCGGAUAUGAUACAACCCAAUCGGUUUUACUAUUUUGUGCUUAUGCCCUCGCUUUAAAUCAAGACGUCCAGGACAAAUUAAGAGCGGAAGUGGACAAUGUACUUGAAGAAAAUGAUUACGAAUUUUCAUACGAUUCUCUCAACAGGAUGACGUAUCUCGAGAUGGUUAUUAAUGAAACGCUGAGAUUUUACCCACCAAUGCUGACGGAUCGAGGGUGCACAAAAGAGUAUAAGAUUCCUGGAACUGAAUUCGUCCUAAAGAAAGGUCAAACCAUCAUAGUUCCAGUUUAUGGGCUACAUCACGAUGCAGAGUAUUUCCCGGAACCUGAAAAAUUUAAUCCGGAACGAUUUUCUCCAGAAAAUAAAGCUAAAAUUAACCAGUGUGCAUAUGUCCCGUUUGGCGUUGGACCCAGAAAUUGUGUCGGAAUGAGGUUUGCUCUUGCCGAGGUGAAAGCCGCAAUUUCUCAUUUGGUUCACAACUUUCGUAUUGAACCAUCAAAGAAAACGAAGAUUCCUGUGAAAUUCACGACGACAAACGUGCUUAAACCGGCGGGGGGCAUGUUUCUUGCUCUUCGCAAAAUCCAGAAUUAAGUUACACACCCACAAUACAGUAUUACAUUAGAAAUGGUAUUAUCUAGUUCCGAGUAAUGCUCUUAUGCUAAAAAUAAGGACGAUCUUUCACGUAAUUCCUUAUUUCGUUUGUAUGUACCAAUAUCAGUAUCAACACAAAUUGAUAAUGUAGGAAACCCUGAAAGUUCUUCCUUGUUUCUUAGGUGAGGCAUAGUAACCAUGACCACAUGAAAAAGUGCAUGGUUACGGCGAAGCCUAAGAAUGCAUACAGACCCCCCCUCCCAAAGUUCCACUCAAGUUUGUGACAAAACGGCUAAUCGUAUCAAAAUGGUGUAAAAGACAAUCGUGCAGACCUUGCUGGGUAGAUGAUGCCCGUCAGGUCUAGAGACAUGGCAAUCUUAUUUUAACGCAUUUAAAAUCGAUUUUAAACUUUCAAACGACUGACAAAUUCAUUUUUUCCAUGCAAUGAUAGUGCGAGACCCUGAUUUUCAUGUGCAGAAAUCUAUAACGCGUCAUUUAAAGCAAACCCGAGCGAAAUCGGAUAAGAAAUGAAAAACUUUUCUUGAUGGUAUCUGCAACCAGUUACGUUACUUCUAUCAGUCCUCCAUUACUUAUCAUGCAUACCUAAAUACGAGGUUUCCAUUAGUAACCAACAUAAGUGAAACAAUUGAGACCUGUACUGGCAUAUGGAAAUAUGUACAUCUACAUAUAUUAUGUGUAUAUCUAAUAUUUAUGCACACUCUUAAGUUAAGAGUCUUAACUGAAGUUAAGAAUGUACAUUCUUAAAACCCGGUGCUAAUCGUAACCAAACGGUGUACAUAUGCCACUUAACCAAAAGGUGAUAUGUUUUUCACAGCCUGAUGAUAAAUCUUCCAGGCAUGGGGACAAAUUGUCACUAGCUAGUGUUAAUUUUAGGUGAGACACCUUAUUACCGCACGGUGAAGUCACAUACGCACACCGUUUGGUGACGAUUAACACCGGGUUUUUAAGAGUGUAAUAGAACAUGCAAUAGCUCCGUACUAAAGUUUUGCCAUAUCGGCAGCAAAUUUUUACGGACCGGUAUAAUUUUAAUACCACGCAGAAACUUUGAUACUGAGAAAACAAUACCUACCUGAAUAUACCAGAUUUCUACAGUGUAUUUACACUUACAUAUAGGGAAUUUAUCUGAUAUGUAACGCAUCCGCACUCAAAGGUUAUAAUUAAUUUGGUAUGCAAUGCAAUGCAUCUAUACCAUAGGGGAUGGUGAAGUGAAUUUGGGAGGGACUCUUAUUUUUAGGCUUAAAAACAAAAAAAUAAAUGAAUUCUUAAAAAAAAGCUUAGUUUUGAACUCACGAACCUAUGCAAGUGUAUAAAUAACUGCCAAUAAAUCAUUUCGAGAAGCUAUCCAGAAAACCGAUUAAUAUUAGUAACAUUCCGUCCUAGUCAUGAAUUCAUGAAAAUUUGUAGUCAAUACUAGUGUAGUCAAUACUUUAAUUAGUCCUAUUUAAUAACCCAUUAUAAUUUGCGACAUUUGGAAUUUGCAUAUUUAAUAAGCUUCGCCAUUCUCCUUCAAUUCUCACAAUCUACGUUUUUCAUGGAGCUAAUGUAUAUGCACACAUAUUAAAACCUUAUAGUAAUCAAGUGAUAAACAGUGGCAAAUAAACUAACAAACGGUUAUAAAGUACA